rnacentral:rRNA from 1 species
UGCUGCCAAGAAAAGUUCCUAGCGAGGUUCUAGCCGCCCGUACCCCAAACCGACUCAGGUGGUCAGGUAGAGAAUACCAAGGCGCUUGAGAGAACGAUGCUGAAGGAACUCGGCAAAUUACCUCCGUAACUUCGGGAGAAGGAGGCCUCACUCUAGGCAACUAGAACUGAGGGGCACAGACCAGGGGGUUGCGACUGUUUAUCAAAAACACAGGGCUCUGCGAAGCCGCAAGGCGACGUAUAGGGUCUGACGCCUGCCCGGUGCCGGAAGGUUAAAAGGAGAUGUGAGAGCGUCGAAUUGAAGCCCCGGUGAACGGCGGCCGUAACAAUAACGGUCCUAAGGUAGCGAAAUUCCUUGUCGGGUA